AUAUCUCUCUGUACGGGAAGGAUGAGAAGCUUCGACUAAGGUUCGAUUCGAGCGAAAGCGAGAAAGCGUUGCCGCAGACAACGACCCGAAGGGCGAAGCGCGCAGCGCUGAGUAAUCCUUCCCCCACCACCA
rnacentral:sRNA from 3 species